rnacentral:misc_RNA from 1 species
GAUGAAGAACGUAGUGAAAUGCGAUAAGUAAUGCGAAUUGCAGAAUUUCCGUGAGCCAUCGAAUCUUUGAACGCAUAUUGCGCUCUCUGGUAUUCCGGAGAGCAUGCUUGUUUGAGUAUCAGUAAACACCUCAACUCCCUUUUCUUUUUUGAAAUUGGAGCUGGACUUGAGUGAUCCCAACGCUUUCUUCCAAGAAAGUGGCGGGUUGCUUGAAAUGCAGGUGCAGCUGAACUUUUCUCUGAGCUAUAAGCAUAUCUAUUUAGUCUGCCUAAAAAACAGAUUAUUACCUUUGCUGCAGCUAACAUAAAGGAGACUAGUUCUUGUGCUGACUGAUGCAGGAUUCACAGAGACAGCUUCGGCUGACUUUGUAAACUCGAUCUCAAAUCAAGUAAGACUACCCGCUGAACUUAAGCAUAUCAAUAAGCGGAGG